UGAGUAAGUCAGAUGGUCGCGGGCAUUGAUGCCCGAGGAAAGUCCGAGCUCCUUAGGGCAGGGUGCUGGGUAAUACCCAGUGAGGGUGACCUCAAGGACAGUGCAACAGAAAGAUACCGCCUAGCACUCAACUAUCUUUAGAGUUUUUAGGACUUAUUUAAAUAUAAUUAUUACUCAGAUAUUGCAUAGAUACUUUAAAGCGUUGUUGAGCGCUGGGUAAGGGUGGAAAGGUGAGGUAAGAGCUCACCAGCGGGAUGGUGACUUUCCGGCUAUGUAAACCCCAUCCGGAGCAAGACCAAAUAGGGGAGCAUAUGCGGCGGCCCGUCGUGCUCCCGGGUAUGGUCGCUUGAGGUGUCAGGCAACUGGCAUCCUAGAUAGAUGACUAUCUAAUACAGAACUCGGCUUAUAGACUUACUCAAACC
rnacentral:RNase_P_RNA from 1 species